GCGGCUAUAUAGUAAGACAACUGAUCCGCACUGUAUACUGUAUGUUCAUCGUUUGUAUUAUUCUAAACAAAGUAGCAAAUGCGUUUUCCAACAAGCACACUAAUAUCCCCGUACUUAUCAGUUCUGGUUCCCCGUAUUCCCCGAUUCCCGUAUUCCCCGAUUCCAGGUUUCCCCGAUUCCCGUAUUCCCCGAUUCCCCAUUUCCUGUUUUAAAGAUAGCCAUUCAAUAAAGGUGUCAAAUGACAGCUAAAAGGCUGAUAUUUAUAAACACGAAAAAAGAAAA